AGGAAAGUAACGAUGAGAAGGGAGGGGGAAGGAACGGUGAUGGUUACUACUAUUCUAUUUAAUUCUCCUUUUUUCAUUUUUUUUUUUUUGUUGAGUUGGCGCUGCUCGCUUUUCAGGUGAGCUAUACUGUGCUCGAGUAAUAUUUUUUAAUCAUGUUGCUGACUCAAUUGAUUGACGAGAAGAAGUUACAGGAUUCAGCAGCCAACAUUUUUUUUUUUUUUUUUU
rnacentral:ribozyme from 14 species